rnacentral:rRNA from 1 species
CCUACGGGAGGCAGCAGUGGGGAAUAUUGCACAAUGGGCGCAAGCCUGAUGCAGCCAUGCCGCGUGUGUGAAGAAGGCCUUCGGGUUGUAAAGCACUUUCAGCGGGGAGGAAGGCGUUAAGGUUAAUAGCCUUGUCGAUUGACGUUACCCGCAGAAGAAGCACCGGCUAACUCCGUGCCAGCAGCCGCGGUAAUACGGAGGGUGCAAGCGUUAAUCGGAAUUACUGGGCGUAAAGCGCACGCAGGCGGUCUGUCAAGUCGGAUGUGAAAUCCCCGGGCUCAACCUGGGAACUGCACUCGAAACUGGCAGGCUAGAGUCUUGUAGAGGGGAGUAGAAUUCCAGGUGUAGCGGUGAAAUGCGUAGAGAUCUGGAGGAAUACCGGUGGCGAAGGCGGCCCCCUGGACAAAGACUGACGCUCAGGUGCGAAAGCGUGGGGAGCAAACAGGAUUAGAUACCCGUGUAGUC